rnacentral:pre_miRNA from 1 species
GCCUAUGCCUCUGCCGGCCAUCAAUGGCGCUCACGACAAGGGUGCCAUCGUCACCGGUCUAAUCUAAUGCCAGGCAACCAGGGAAGACACAGGAUCCAUUUUCUAGUGCCUGGCUGGGAUCAAUGCAAGAUGAUAGUUGGAUCCUGGACGCCGAAGGCCAUCAUGCGGUGUCAACCGCAUGACGGCCGUUGGCGUCCAGGAUCUAGCUGUCGUCUUGGAUUGAUCCCAGCCAGGCGCUUGGAGAUGGACCCACGGUCUUCCCUCCCUUGUUGCCUGGGUUCCGAGCAGACCGGCGACGAUGGCACCACCGUCGUUGGCUCCAGGGCAUUGACGGCCCGGCGGAGAACCAGGC